rnacentral:rRNA from 1 species
ACGGAGGACGAACGCCGCGAGGGGGAGCUAAUCCCACAAAUCCGCUCCUAGUUCGGAUUGGAGUCUGCAACCCGACUCCAUGAGGCUGGAAUCGCUAGUAAUCGCGGAUCAGCAUGCCGCGGUGAAUACGUUCCCGGGCCUU